GAUGUGCAAGUGGAAGAAGUUGGGGAAGAUGAUGAGCAAGUGGAAAGAUCACAAGAGCAAUCACAAUCAAACUUAAAUAAUGGUACAAUAAUAUUUUAAAGCAUUUUUAUCUUGUGAGAUGAUUUUUAUUUUAGACUUGAUUUUAUUUUAUUUUUAAUAUAUAUUUUAGAUUUAUUUUAAUUGUUUAUAUUAGAGUUCAUUUUAAUAUAUA
rnacentral:lncRNA from 1 species